AGAUUGAACGCUGGCGGCAUGCCUUACACAUGCAAGUCGAACGGUAGAGUAGCAAUACUUGAGAGUGGCGAACGGGUGAGUAAUAUAUCGGAACGUGCCCAGUCGUGGGGGAUAACGUAGAGAAAUUUACGCUAAUACCGCAUACGAUCCAAGGAUGAAAGCGGGGACCGUAAGGCCUCGCGCGACUGGAGCGGCUGAUAUCAAGAUUAGCUUGUUGGUGAGGUAAAAGCUCACCAAGGCGACGAUCUGUAGCUGGUUGAGAGAACGACCAGCCACACUGGGACUGAGACACGGCCCAGAACGUCCGUACGGGAGGCAGCGAGGUGGGAAUUUUGGACAAGUGGGACGAAAGCCGUAGGAUCCCGAGCUAAGUCGCCGCGUCGACGAAGGAA
rnacentral:rRNA from 1 species